rnacentral:rRNA from 1 species
UACGUAGGAGGCGAGCGUUGUCCGGAUUUACUGGGCGUAAAGCGCGUGUAGGCGGUUCGAUUAGUCUGCUGUGAAAGCUCCCGCUUAACGAGGAGAGGUCGGUGGAUACUGUCGGACUUGAGGACGGUAGAGGGGGGUGGAAUUCCCGGUGUAGCGGUGGAAUGCGUAGAGAUCGGGAAGAACAUCAGUGGCGAAGGCGGCCUGCUGGGCUGUUGCUGACGCUGAGGCGCGACAGCGUGGGGAGCAAACAGG